rnacentral:rRNA from 1 species
GACGAACGCUGGCGGCGCGCCUAACACAUGCAAGUCGAACGAGCGAGCGAGAGCUUGCUUUCUCGAGCGAGUGGCGAACGGGUGAGUAACGCGUGAGGAACCUGCCUCAAAGAGGGGGACAACAGUUGGAAACGACUGCUAAUACCGCAUAAGCCCACGAUGCCGCAUGGCACCGAGGGAAAAGGAGCAAUCCGCUUUGAGAUGGCCUCGCGUCCGAUUAGCUAGUUGGUGAGGUAAUGGCACACCAAGGCCACGAUCGGUAGCCGGACUGAGAGGUUGAACGGCCACAUUGGGACUGAGACACGGCCCAGACUCCUACGGGAGGCAGCAGUGGGGAAUAUUGCACAAUGGGGGAAACCCUGAUGCAGCGACGCCGCGUGGAGGAAGAAGGUCUUCGGAUUGUAAAAUCCUGUUGUUGGGGAAGAUAAUGACGGUACCCAACAAGGAAGUGACGGCUAACUACGUG